UGGGGAAUAUUGCACAAUGGGCGCAAGCCUGAUGCAGCCAUGCCGCGUGUGUGAAGAAGGCCUUCGGGUUGUAAAGCACUUUCAGCGGGGAGGAAGGCGUUAAGGUUAAUAACCUUGGCGAUUGACGUUACCCGCAGAAGAAGCACCGGCUAACUCCGUGCCAGCAGCCGCGGUAAUACGGAGGGUGCAAGCGUUAAUCGGAAUUACUGGGCGUAAAGCGCACGCAGGCGGUCUGUCAAGUCGGAUGUGAAAUCCCCGGGCUCAACCUGGGAACUGCAUUCGAAACUGGCAGGCUGGAGUCUUGUAGAGGGGGGUAGAAUUCCAGGGGUAGCGGUGAAAUGCGUAGAGAUCUGGAGGAAUACCGGUGGCGAAGGCGGCCCCCUGGACGAAGACUGACGCUCAGGUGCGAAAGCGUGGGGAGCAAACAGG
rnacentral:rRNA from 1 species